rnacentral:piRNA from 1 species
UUUUCAUGUUUGAUGUUUGUGAAGAUGAA